rnacentral:rRNA from 1 species
UGUAAAAUUUUAAAGGUCGAACAGACCUAAUAUUAUAGCUUCUACACCAAAAAUUAAUUUUAAUCCAACAUCGAGGUCGCAAUCUUUUUUUUUAAUAUGAACUUUAUAAAAAAAUUACGCUGUUAUCCCUAAGGUAAUUUUAUCUUAUAAUCAAGAAUAUUGGRUCAUUUAUUCAUAAAUUUAUGUUUAAAAAUAAAAAAAAAGUUUAUUAAAUUUUUCAAUCACCCCAAUUAAAUUAUUAAAUAAAAUAUAUAAAUAAAUACUAAAAUAUAAUUUUUAUUUAAUAAUUAAACUCUAUAGGGUCUUCUCGUCUUUUAAAUUCAAUUAAGCUUUUUAACUUAAAA